AGAGAGGUGGCCGAGUGGCUUAAGGCGCACGCUUGGAAAGCGUGUAUACUUCACGGUAUCGAGGGUUCGAAUCCCUUCCUCUCUGCGA
rnacentral:tRNA from 1 species